rnacentral:rRNA from 1 species
UACGAAGGGGGCUAGCGUUGUUCGGAAUCACUGGGCGUAAAGCGCACGUAGGCGGAUUUUUAAGUCAGGGGUGAAAUCCCGAGGCUCAACCUCGGAACUGCCUUUGAUACUGGGGAUCUGGAGUCCGGGAGAGGUGAGCGGAACUGCGAGUGUAGAGGUGAAAAUUCGUAGAUAUUCGCAAGAACACCAGUGGCGAAGGCGGCUCACUGGCCCGGAAC